rnacentral:rRNA from 1 species
UUAAGUUAGAAAGGGCGCACGGUGGAUGCCUUGGCACUAGGAGCCGAUGAAGGACGGGACGAACACCGAUAUGCUUCGGGGAGCUGUAAGCAAGCUUUGAUCCGGAGAUUUCCGAAUGGGGAAACCCACCACUCGUAAUGGAGUGGUAUCCAUAUCUGAAUACAUAGGAUAUGAGAAGGCAGACCCGGGGAACUGAAACAUCUAAGUACCCGGAGGAAGAGAAAGCAAAUGCGAUUCCCUGAGUAGCGGCGAGCGAAACGGGACCAGCCCAAACCAAGAGGCUUGCCUCUUGGGGUUGUAGGACACUCUGUACGGAGUUACAAAGGAACGAGGUAGAUGAAGAGGUCUGGAAAGGCCCGCCAUAGGAGGUAACAGCCCUGUAGUCAAAACUUCGUUCUCUCCUGAGUGGAUCCUGAGUACGGCGGAACACGUGAAAUUCCGUCGGAAUCCGGGAGGACCAUCUCCCAAGGCUAAAUACUCCCUAGUGACCGAUAGUGAACCAGUACCGUGAGGGAAAGGUGAAAAGCACCCCGGAAGGGGAGUGAAAGAGAUCCUGAAACCGUGUGCCUACAAGUAGUCAGAGCCCGUUAACGGGUGAUGGCGUGCCUUUUGUAGAAUGAACCGGCGAGUUACGAUCCCGUGCAAGGUUAAGCAGAAGAUGCGGAGCCGCAGCGAAAGCGAGUCUGAAUAGGGCGAAUUGAGUACGUGGUCGUAGACCCGAAACCAGGUGAUCUACCCAUGUCCAGGGUGAAGUUCAGGUAACACUGAAUGGAGGCCCGAACCCACGCACGUUGAAAAGUGCGGGGAUGAGGUGUGGGUAGGGGUGAAAUGCCAAUCGAACCUGGAGAUAGCUGGUUCUCUCCGAAAUAGCUUUAGGGCUAGCCUCAAGGUAAGAGUCUCGGAGGUAGAGCACUGAUUGGACUAGGGGCCCCUACCGGGUUACCGAAUUCAGUCAAACUCCGAAUGCUGAUGACUUAUCCUUGGGAGUCAGACUGCGAGUGAUAAGAUCCGUAGUCGAAAGGGAAACAGCCCAGACCGCCAGCUAAGGUCCCAAAGUAUACGUUAAGUGGAAAAGGAUGUGGAGUUGCUUAGACAACCAGGAUGUUGGCUUAGAAGCAGCCACCAUUUAAAGAGUGCGUAAUAGCUCACUGGUCGAGUGACUCUGCGCCGAAAAUGUACCGGGGCUAAACGUAUCACCGAAGCUGCGGACUGUUCUUCGAACAGUGGUAGGAGAGCGUUCUAAGGGCUGUGAAGCAAGACCGGAAGGACUUGUGGAGCGCUUAGAAGUGAGAAUGCCGGUAUGAGUAGCGAAAGAGGGGUGAGAAUCCCCUCCACCGAAUGCCUAAGGUUUCCUGAGGAAGGCUCGUCCGCUCAGGGUUAGUCGGGACCUAAGCCGAGGCCGAAAGGCGUAGGCGAUGGAUAACAGGUUGAUAUUCCUGUACCACCUCCUCACCAUUUGAGCAAUGGGGGGACGCAGGAGGAUAGGGUAAGCGCGGUAUUGGAUAUCCGCGUCCAAGCAGUUAGGCUGGGAAAUAGGCAAAUCCGUUUCCCGUGAAGGCUGAGCUGUGAUGGCGAGCGAAUUAUAGUAGCGAAGUUCCUGAUUCCACACUGCCAAGAAAAGCCUCUAGCGAGGUGAGAGGUGCCCGUACCGCAAACCGACACAGGUAGGCGAGGAGAGAAUCCUAAGGUGAUCGAGAGAACUCUCGUUAAGGAACUCGGCAAAAUGACCCCGUAACUUCGGGAGAAGGGGUGCUCUGUUAGGGUGCAAGCCCGAGAGAGCCGCAGUGAAUAGGCCCAGGCGACUGUUUAGCAAAAACACAGGUCUCUGCGAAGCCGUAAGGCGAAGUAUAGGGGCUGACGCCUGCCCGGUGCUGGAAGGUUAAGAGGAGCGCUUAGCGUAAGCGAAGGUGCGAAUUGAAGCCCCAGUAAACGGCGGCCGUAACUAUAACGGUCCUAAGGUAGCGAAAUUCCUUGUCGGGUAAGUUCCGACCCGCACGAAAGGCGCAACGAUCUGGGCACUGUCUCAACGAGAGACUCGGUGAAAUUAUAGUACCUGUGAAGAUGCAGGUUACCCGCGACAGGACGGAAAGACCCCGUGGAGCUUUACUGCAGCCUGAUAUUGAAUGUUGGUACAGCUUGUACAGGAUAGGUAGGAGCCUUGGAAACCGGAGCGCCAGCUUCGGUGGAGGCAUCGGUGGGAUACUACCCUGGCUGUAUUGACCUUCUAACCCGCCGCCCUUAUCGGGCGGGGAGACAGUGUCAGGUGGGCAGUUUGACUGGGGCGGUCGCCUCCUAAAAGGUAACGGAGGCGCCCAAAGGUUCCCUCAGAAUGGUUGGAAAUCAUUCGCAGAGUGUAAAGGCACAAGGGAGCUUGACUGCGAGACCUACAAGUCGAGCAGGGACGAAAGUCGGGCUUAGUGAUCCGGUGGUUCCGCAUGGAAGGGCCAUCGCUCAACGGAUAAAAGCUACCCCGGGGAUAACAGGCUUAUCUCCCCCAAGAGUCCACAUCGACGGGGAGGUUUGGCACCUCGAUGUCGGCUCAUCGCAUCCUGGGGCUGUAGUCGGUCCCAAGGGUUGGGCUGUUCGCCCAUUAAAGCGGUACGCGAGCUGGGUUCAGAACGUCGUGAGACAGUUCGGUCCCUAUCCGUCGCGGGCGCAGGAAAUUUGAGAGGAGCUGUCCUUAGUACGAGAGGACCGGGAUGGACGCACCGCUGGUGUACCAGUUGUUCUGCCAAGGGCAUCGCUGGGUAGCUAUGUGCGGACGGGAUAAGUGCUGAAAGCAUCUAAGCAUGAAGCCCCCCUCAAGAUGAGAUUUCCCAUUCCGCAAGGAAGUAAGAUCCCUGAAAGAUGAUCAGGUUGAUAGGUCUGAGGUGGAAGUGUGGCGACACAUGGAGCUGACAGAUACUAAUCGAUCGAGGACUUAACCAA